GACGAACGCUGGCGGCGUGCUUAACACAUGCAAGUCGAACGAUGAAGAAGAGAAACGCGAACUUCGGUUCAAAUUUCACUUCGGAUUAGUGGUAGACGGGUGAGUAACGCGUGAGCAACCUACCUCUUACAAAGGGAUAGCCUCGGGAAACCGUGAUUAAUACCAUAUGACACAUUCAUAAGGCAUCUUAAGAAUGUUAAAGCUACGGCGGUAAGGGAUGGGCUCGCGUCCCAUUAGCUAGGUGGUGAGGUAACGGCCCACCAAGGCGACGUUGGGUAACCGGGCUGAGAGGGUGAACCGUCACAUUGGAACUGCGACACGGUCCAAACUCCUACGGGAGGCAGCAGUGGGGAAUAUUGCACAAUGGAGGGAACUCUGAUGCAGCGACGCCGCGUGAGCGAUGAAGGAAUUCGUUUAGUAAAGCUCUGUUCUAUGGGAAGAAAAGGACUGUACCAUAGGAGAAAGCCCCGGCUAAAUACGUG
rnacentral:rRNA from 1 species